GAUUAACGCUGGCGGCGUGCAUAACACAUGCAAGUCGAACGAUGAAACUCAUUAGAUUUCUUCGGUAUGAAAAGGAAUGGAUUAGUGUCGAUCGGGUGAUUAACGCGUGAGUAACCUGCCUUACACAAGGGGAUAGUCUCUGGACAUGGAGAAUAAUACCCUAUGAGACCAAACAAUCGAAUGAUAAUUUGGUCAAAAUGUUGAGUGGUGUAAGAUGGACUUUCGUCUGAUUACCUAGUUGGUCAGAUAAAAGGUCAUCAAGGCAACGAACAGUAGCCGGAUCUGGAGAGUGUACGGCACCACUGGGACUGGGACAAGGCCCAGACUCCUGCGGGAGGGAGCAGUGGGGAAUUUUGCACGAUGGGGGAAAGAAGGAUGCAGCGGCGCCGCGUGAUUUAGAAGGCCUUGGGGUAGUAAAGAUCUUUUGUAUAGGAAGAAUAUGACAGUACUAUACGAAUAAGGUCCGGCUAAUUACGUG
rnacentral:rRNA from 1 species